rnacentral:misc_RNA from 1 species
GGAAAUUCUGAAAAUUACCAGGUCCAGUUGCCAAAAGCUAAGGGUUCGGCAGUUGAAACAUGCAGUUUCUCAGAAAAUCUACAAAAUUUUCAGGUUUGACAGUCAAAGUCCAAGACUUCGGCAGCCGAAGUCAGCACUGGACAAAAAUGUCAUCCAAAGCCCAAGACUUCCGUAGUCGAAGUGGGUUCUGCCUCACUUUUUCUCUCUUUUUUUCUAAGGUUCCAAAACAUAGUUUCAUG